UGGAAGAACAAUAUUACAGAGAGAUGGUUCUGCCAGAAGACCAGUUAAUAAACCCCCUAGAAGUCCUGCCACAGCAUGUGUGUGAAACACAGCAAGUGUAUCAUCCACCUGCUGUAGAAAAGUGGACUUUUUGUGGAGUAUCAUCAUGGAAUACCAUGGAAUGCUUCCAGCAAGAAUUCCCAUUACUAUGGCUGCCCAAGCUUGCACCACUCCUGCUCCAGGAGUUACACAAGCUAGGCCGGUCAUCAUUCCUUGAAUCGCUCCAAUAACGGAUGGCUUGCCAAAGUAAAAAACAUCUAGG
rnacentral:misc_RNA from 1 species